rnacentral:lncRNA from 1 species
CUUGGGACACACCAUUUGAGUGUUUCAGAGCUGAAAUGAGAAGGACAUUCUAUUUUUGACCAGGGAUAUGGGAAACGUGUCAAUCUCUGUGUGAGGGUGAAGAACGCACUGAGACAGCCAGAAGAGACAUUUCUUAGCUCCCAGAUGGCACUUCUGGACCUGCGUGGGGAGUGGAGGAACUCACCACCUGAAAGGAAGAACACAGGCCUGGCUGGCUUUACCACCUGCUAAGUGUAGAGCCCUAGGGCCUUAAGCGAACAUAAGCUGCAGCCAAGGACUGGUUAUGGUAAGCCUUGGGCAACACCCAAUGCUGUGGUGACUUUGGGUCUGAUCCAGCACAGUGCUAGUGGUGGUGGCCACAAGGGUGCUUGGGUCACUCCACUGCCAGCUCCAGGUGGCUCAGAACAGAGAGAGAGGCUCUGUUUGGGAGAAAGUAAGGAAAGAGAACAAGAGUCUCAGUCUGGUAAUCCACAGAAUUCUUCUAAAUCUUAUCCAAGACCAUCAAGGCAGUACCUCUAUGAGUCUGGAGGAACCACUGCAUUAUUGGGCAUGGGGUGGCCCCUAAAGCACAUACAGCUUAGAUCACAACUCCCAAGUCCUUCUGAAUAUAUGGAAAGCCUUCCCAAGGAGGAUGGGUACAAACAAGCCCAGACUGAGAAGACUACAAUGAAUACCUAACUCUUCAAUGCCCAAACACAGACAAAUAUCUACAAGUGUCAUGACCAUCCAGGAAAGCAUGACCUCACCAAAUGAACUAAAUAAGGCACUAGGGACCAAUCCUGGAGAAACGGAUAUGUGACCUUUCAGACAGAGAAUUCAAAAUAGCUGUUUUGAGGAGACUCAAAGAAAAAUCAAGAUAACACAAAGAAGGAAUUCAGAAUUCUAUCAGACAAAUUUAGUAGAGAUUGAAAUAACUAAAAUGAAUAAAGCAGAAAUUCUGGAAUUUGGCAUACUGAAGAAUUCAUCAGAGUCUUUUAAUAGGAGAAUUGAUCAAGCAGAAGAGGAAUUAGUGAGCUUGAAGAUAGAGUAUUUGAAAAUACAAAGUUAGAGGAAACAACCACAAAAAAGAAUAAAAAAGCAAUGAAGCAUACCUGCGGGAUCUAGAAAAUAGCUGCAAAAGGGCAAAUCUAAGAGUUGUUGGCCUUAAAGAGAAGGUAGAGAAAAAGACGGGUAGAAAGUUUAUUCAAAGGGAUAAUAACAGGGAACUUCCCAAACCUAGAGAAAGAUACCCAUAUCAAAUACAAGAAGGUUAUAGAACACCAAGCAGAUUUAACUCAAAAGACUGCCUCAAGGCAUUUAAUAAUCAAACUCCCAAAGGUCAAGGAUAAAGAAAGGACCCUAAUAGCAGCAAGAGAAAAGAAACAAACAACAUACAAUGGAGCUCCCAUAUGUCUGGCAGCAGACUUUUCAGUGCAAACCUUAUAGGCCAGAAGAGAGGGGCAUGACGUAAUUAAGUGCUAAAAGAAAAAGAAAACUAACCUAGAUUAGUGUAUCUGGUGAAAAUAUUCUUCAAACGUGAAGGAAAACUAAAGACUUCCCCAGACAAACAAAAGUGGAGAGAUUUCAUCAACACCACACCUAUCCUACUACAAAUGCUAAAGGGAGUACUUCAGUCAGAAAGAAAAGAACAUUAAUGAGCAAUAUAAAAUCAUCGGAAGCUACAAAACUCACUGGUAAUAGUAAGCACAAAGAAAAACAAAGAAUAUUGUAACACUGUAAUUAUGGUGUGUAAACUACUCAUGCCUUAAGUAGAAAGAUGAAAAGAUGAAACAAUUGAAAGGAAUAACUAGAACUUUUUAAGACAUAGGCAGUAUAGUAAGAUAUAAAUACAAACAACAAACAGUUAAAAAGUGGGAGGAUAAAGUUAAAGUGUAGAGCUUUUAUUCAUUUUCUCUUUGCUUGUUUAUGCAAUGAGUAUUCAGUUGUCAUCAGUUUAAAAUAAUGGGUUAUAAAAUACUAUUUGCAAGCCUCACGGUAACAUACAUAAUAACAUACGAUGGCUACAAAAAAAUAAAAAGCAAGAAACUAAAUUAUAUCACCAGAGGAAAAAACUUUCACUAAAAGAAAGACAGGAGGAAAAUUAAAAAGGAAGAGAAGGCCACAAAACAACCAGAAAACAAAUAACAAAAUGGCAGGAGUAAGUACUUCUUUAUCAAUAAUUACAUUGAAUGUAAAUUGACUAAAUGUACCCAAUGAAAAGAUCCAUUGAUCUGUCACCUACAAGAAACACAAAUAAAGAUAACUAUAAAGACACACAUAGACUGAAAAUAAAGGGAAGAAAAAAGAUAUUCCAUGCAAAUGGAAACAAAAAAAGAGUAAGAAUAGUUAUAUCAGACAAAAUAGAUUUCAAGACAAAAACUAUAGGAAGAGACAAAGAAGGUCGCUGUAUAAUGAUAAAGGGGUCAAUUUAGCAAGAGGAUAUAACAUUUUAAAUAUAUAUGCACCCAACACCGGAGCACUCAGAGAUAUAAAGCAAAUAUUAUUAGAGCUAAAGAGAAAGAUAGGCUCCAAUACAAUCAUAGUUAAGAGACUUCAACACUCCAUUUUCAGCAUUGGACAGAUCUUCCAGACAGAAAAUCGACAAAGAAACAUUGGACUUAAUUUUUACUAUAGACCAAAUGGACCUAAUAGAUAUUUACGAACAUUUCAUCCAGUGGCUGCAGAAUAAACAUUGUUUUCCUCAGCACAUGGAUCAUUCUCAAGGAUAGGCCAUAUGUUAGGUCACAAAACAAGUCUUAAAAUGUUUUAAAAAGUUGAAAUCAUAUCAAGCAUCUUCUCUGACCACAAUGGAAUAAAACUGAAAAUCAAUAACAACAGAAAUUUUGGAAACCAUACGAGUACGUGGAAACUAAACAACAUGCUCCUGAAUGACCAGUGGGUCAAUAAAGAAAUUAUAAGAAGGAAAUUGAAAAUCUUCUUGAAACAAAUGAUAAAGGAAACACAAAAUACCAAAACCUAUGAGAUACAGCAAAAGCAGUACCAAGAGAGAAGAUUACAGCUAUACGUGCUGGCAUCAAAGAAGAAGAAAAACUUCAAAUAAACAACCUAAUGAAUUAAAUUAAAUUAAAGAAUUUGAAAAGCAAAAGCAAACCAAGCCCUAAAUUAGUAGAAGAAAAGGAAUAAUAAAGAUCAGAGCAGAAAUAAAUGAAAUAAAAAAGAAGGAAACAAUACAAAAGAUCAAUGAAACAAAGAUGGUUUUUUGAAAAGUUAAACAAAGUGACAAAACUUCUGCCAAAAUAACUGAGAAAAAAGAGAAGAUCCAAACAAAUAAAAUUGCAGAUGAAGAGGAGACAUUACAACUGAUACUGCAGAAAUUCACAGGAUCAUUAGAUGCCAAUAAAGUUGAAAACCUAGAAGAAAUGGUUAAAUUCCUAGAUGCAUAAAACCUACCAAGAUUGAACCAUGAAGAAAUCCAAAACUGGAAUAGACCAAUAACAAGUAAUGAAUUCAAAGCUGUAAUAAAAACUCUGUCAGUAAAGAAAAGCCCAGGACCUAAUGGCUUCACUGCUGAAUUCUAUCAAACAUUUAAAGAAGAACUAAUACCAAUUCUACUCAAACUAUUAUGAAAAAUAGAAGAGAAGGGAAUACUUCCAAACUCAUUCUGAGGUCAGUAUUACUCUGAUACCAAAAUCAGACAGAUACAUCAAUAAAAGAAAACUAACUACAGGCCAAUAUCUCUGAUGAAUAUUGAUGCAAAAACCCUCAACAAAAUACUAGCAAAUUGAAUUCAACAAAACAUUGGAAAGAUCAUUCAUCAUGACUGAGUAGAAUUUAUCCUUAGUAUUCAAGGAUGGUUCAACAUAUGCAAACCAAUCAAUGUGAUACAUCAUAUCAACAGAAUAAAGGAUUAAAAAACCCAUAUGAUCAUUUCAACAUCCCUUCAUUAUAAAAAAUAUUCAAAAAACUGGAUACAGAAGGAACAUACCUUAACAUAAUAAAAGCCAUAUAUGGCAAAAGCAACCUAAGUGUUCAUUAACAGAUGAAUCAAUAAAGAAAAUGUAGUACUUACAUACGAUGUAAUACUACUAUUCAGCCAUAAAAAGAAUGAGAUUCUGUCAUUUGCAACAACAUAGAUGGAACUGGAGGUCAUUAUGUUAAGUGAAAUAAAACA